UACGAAGGGGGCUAGCGUUGCUCGGAAUGACUGGGCGUAAAGGGCGCGUAGGCGGUUUGUACAGUCAGAUGUGAAAUUCCUGGGCUCAACCUGGGGGGCUGCAUUUGAUACGUAUGGACUGGAGUGAGGAAGAGGGUCGUGGAAUUCCCAGUGUAGAGGUGAAAUUCGUAGAUAUUGGGAAGAACACCGGUGGCGAAGGCGGCGACCUGGUCCUUUACUGACGCUGAGGCGCGAAAGCGUGGGGAGCGAACGGG
rnacentral:rRNA from 1 species